rnacentral:lncRNA from 1 species
GACCCUCGGGCCUUUGGCCACAGACUGAAGGCUGCACUGUCAGUUUCCCUACUUUUGAGGUUUUGGGACUCAGACUGAUCUGCCACUGGCUUCCUUGGUCCUCAACUAGCAGACAGCCUAUCAUGGAACUUUACCUUGUGAUGGUAAUAACGUAGAUGACAGGAAGAAAUAGCAUUUGAAAAAAAUUGCAUGCUUGAAAAAGUGGAACAAUACUAACCAGUGCCUAAGAGGGGCACAAAACUGUCUAUACUUUUUACACUUCAAUGGAUGUGAAAUAAUUACAUCUUAUGGAAUCAGAAUUUCAGAGUUCAAAGAAAUAUUAAUGGUCUUUCAGGCUACGAAUAAGAAAACUGAGAAGAAUACUAGAGAACAAAUACAAACGAGAUAAACACAUCAGAGAGGACAUCAGAAGAUGAUUACUACAAAUCAUUGGAACAUAAGAAGGAGUGAUAAUGGGUUUAGCAAAAAAGGAAGAAGCUUCAAUAUAAAAUACUCUUAUAGUAAGAUUCUCUUGACAAAGGAACUGCAGCUCUGCUUUUCAGAACUCUGGAAAGACUCAGAGAGGAUCUAAAAACAUCCUACAUGAUUAAUGGAACGCAUGAGAUGAGCUGGAAGGAGGGGGAAGAAGGAUUAAAUGUUCCAUCUCUCAACUUAUGACGGAGGAUCACAACAAUUGAGUGGUCAUUGUUGAGAUACUGAGAUCAUCUUAACAGAACUGCUGGUCUUCUGCCUAAUUAUCUUCCAUUAAACUUUCACAAAUAGAUAAUCCCUAUUCACACACAGAGAACUUUCAAUAGCUUUUCAUUGCUUCUUUCUUAAAUAAAAUUGCAUAACCAAUUGCACCAUAUGUUUAAGAAAAAAUUGCAACAUAAAAAUGAGAGACCAAAUAAUUAAACAUAAAAUUAUUCUUUGACAAAAACUAUGAUUGUUAAUAGAACAUAAUAUGGAAGACAUUUUAAGCAUUCUGAUAGAGAUUUCAGAUGACAUUCAUCAUUUCAAGACCAGCAUGUGAUGAAAAGCAUGUCAAACAAAUAAAAACAAAACAAAAAAGGACCCCACGUGAAAUAAAAUUUGAUUCUGGCAAAAUAAACUGAAUAUGUUUUUUUAAUAGGAAUGCCAUGAGAUAAAGUUAAAGAAAGAUCCAGAAAGUAGAAAAAAAAGAAAAUAUGGAGAAAAUGUGGAGAUCAAAAUCUAACUAAUAAAGAUUUCAGAGAGAAUUAAAAAAACAGAAAACAAUAAUUUCACAAAAAUACAGUAACAUUUUCCAGAACUGAGGAACAAAGUAAUAAUCCUUUUUAAAUGGAGAGAAGUCAUGAAUAAAUGAACCAAAAACAUGUAUCUAGAUGUACCCUCAUGGCAUUUCAGAAAACAAAAAUUAAAGGGAAUUUUUCAAGAAAAGUAAAGCAGGUCACAUACAAAGGACUGCAAAUCAGACUGGUAACAGAUUUUUUAAUCAAUACUCAAAGUUUCAGAAGGUGCACAGCAGUGUUUUCAACAUUCUGAGGGGAUUAAUUCUCAACCUACAAUUAUAUCCUUAAACUGCAUAGAAAACUACAUAGUAUAACUUUAGAUAGAAGGCAUUUUCAGACAAAGACCCAAAAAGUUUAUCUUUCCAAGACCCUUUUCUAAAAAGCUAUUUCAGGAUAUACUUCUGCAAAAUGAGGCAAUGCACCAGUAAAGAAGAAAACAAAGCCUUCAUAAAACUGUUGAUGCAGUUAAGGAGAAUAAUUAAGGGAACUUAAUUAGGUCAAGGGAGCUUAGUUAGGGUCUCAGGGAAAAGGAAUACUGGCAAGUCUUAGUGGGAAGCAUUAAAAGCAUUUAAAUAUGUAAGUGUAACAUCUGGGGGAAUUAUAAAGUAGAUGAUAUAAUCUUCAACGAUUUAAAAAUGAUAAAAUAAUUAUUAAUAAUUAUGAGGUGAAGGAAGGGAUACGGAAAGUCAUGACAUAAUGUAAAUUUUCACUAUAUUUUAUUGAGGUGGCAUGAUCAAUAAUGUUUAAAACUGAAACAUUCUGUUAUAAAAACAUAAGUUCUGGAUAUUUUGUUCACAUAUAAGUAGACACACACACACGCAUAUAUUUUUCUUUUUUCUAUAGAUCAGUUAGCCAAUAAUAGGUAUGUCAUGGACAAUUAGUAGUUCGGUAAUUAAGUUUCAGUCUAGUUUCUUUUCUCAAAUACAAAUAAGAUUAAAUAAAAUAAUUAGAUUGCCUUAGCCUAGGUGCCUAGAAAACAUACUGGGGCAAAGUUUACAUAUUAGUAAUGUAUUUGGAGUGCAAACUCAGGGCACCAAAAGUAAAAAAAAAGAAAGAAAGAAAGAGA